rnacentral:rRNA from 1 species
UACAUGUGGGGCAAGCGUUGUUCGGAAUUACUGGGCAUAAAGGGUGCGUAGGUGGUUUGUUAAGUCACUGGUGAAAGUUUGCGGCCCAACCGUAAAAUUGCCUGUGAUACUGGCGAACUUGAGUGCGUGAGGGAUGGGGGGAACGAGCAGUGUAGCGGUGAAAUGCGUAGAUAUUGCUCGGAAGGCCGGAGCCGAAGGGGCCCCAUUGGUACGUAACUGACGCUGAGGCACGAAAGCGUGGGGAGCGAACCGG